GGGGGCAUGGCUCAGGGCGGUAGAGUGCUUGCCUAUCAAGUAUAGGGCCCUAUGUUCAAACCUUAGUGCCACCA
rnacentral:tRNA from 1 species